GACGAACGCUGGCGGCGUGCCUAAUACAUGCAAGUCGAACGCAGUGGGGACGGGUGAUUAACACGUGGAUAACCUCCCAUCAGAGGGGAUAACACUUGGAAACAGGUGCUAAACCGAUACUGAUGGAUGGACCCGCGGGGCAUUAGCUAGUUGGUGAGGUAACGGCUCACCAAGGCGACGAUCCCUAGCUGGUGUGAGAGGAUGACCAGCCACACUGGGACUGAGACACGGCCCAGACUCCUACGGGAGGCAGCAGUGGGGAAUUGUGGACAAUGGGGGAAACCCUGAUACAGCCAUCCCGCGUGGACGAUGAAGGCCUUCGGGUUGUAAAGUACUUUUGGCGGAGGAACGUUACCUGCAGAAUAAGCACCGGCUAACUCCGUGCCAGCAGCCGCGGUAAUUC
rnacentral:rRNA from 1 species